AUGUCUGAUAAGCUCACAUAUCCUGUCUCUCUUGCAGCCAGAACAACAGCCCCAUCUGUCUAUCCCUUGGUCCCUGGCUGUGGUGGCACGUCUGGAUCCAUGGUAACCCUAGGAUGCCUGGCCAAAGGCUAUUUCCCUGAGCCGGUGACCAUAACCUGGAACUCUGGAUCCCUGUACAGCAGCAUGCACAACUUUCCAUCUGUCCUGCAUUCUGGGUUCUACUCCCGCAGCAGCUUGGUGACUGUGUCCUCCAGCACCUGGCCCAGCCAGACCAUCACCUGCGACGUGGUCCACCCGGCCAGCAGCACCAAUUUGAGGAAGACAGUUGAACCCAGAAAGCCUCCAGUUACCCUGUGCCCACCUUCUUGCGUUGGAGGUGGACCAUCUGUCUUCAUCUUCCCUCCAAAACCCAAAGAGACACUCAUGAUCUCCCUGACCCCCAAGAGCACGUGUGUGGUGGUGGAUGUGAGUGAGGAUGAUCCAGAUGUCCAGUUCAGAUGGUUUGUGAACAAUAAAGAAGUGCACACAGCUGAGACACAGACCCGUGAGGAGCAGUACAACAGUACCUUGCGUGUGGUCAGUGUCCUCCCCAUCCAGCACCAGGAAUGGCUGAGGGGCAUGGAGUUCAAAUGCAAGGUCAACAACAAAGCCCUCCCAGGCCCCAUUGAGAGAACCAUCUCAAAACCCAAAGGGCAAGCCCGGGUGCCUCAAGUGUAUGCCAUGCCUCCACCUCGAGAGCAAAUGUCCAAGAAGAAGGUCAGUCUGACCUGCAUGAUCACUGACUUCUUCUCCGAAGCCAUCAGUGUGGAGUGGGAAAGAAACGGAGAGCUGGAGCAGAGCUACAAGAACACCCCACCCAUUCUGGACUCAGAUGGGUCCUACUUCCUGUACAGCAAGCUCACUGUGGACACAAACAGUUGGUUGCGAGGAGACACGUUUACCUGCUCCGUGGUGCACGAGGCUCUGCACAACCACCACACACAGAAGACCCUCUCCCACUCCCUGGGUAAAUGA